GACGAACCGUGCGAACGUUGUUCGGAAUCACUGGGCUUAAAGGGCGCGUAGGCGGGUGGUCAAGUCAGGGGUGAAAUCUUUCAGCUCAACUGGAAAACAGCUUCUGAUACUGGCCGUCUUGAGGGGGGUAGGGGCAUGUGGAACUUCCGGUGGAGCGGUGAAAUGCGUAGAUAUCAGGAGGAACACCGAUGGCGAAGGCAGGUCUCUGGGCAUUAACUGACGCUGAGACGCGAAAGCUAGGGGAGCGAACAGG
rnacentral:rRNA from 1 species